AACUGCGAUAAGUAAUGUGCAUUGCAGAAUUCAGUGAAUCAUCGAGUCUUUGAACGCACAUUGCGCCCCCUGGCAUUCCGGGGGGCAUGCCUGUCCGAGCGUCAUUGCUGCCCUUCAAGCCCGGCUUGUGUGUUGGGUCGUCGUCCCCUCCGGGGGACGGGCCCGAAAGGCAGCGGCGGCACCGCGUCCGGUCCUCGAGCGUAUGGGGCUUUGUCACCCGCUCGAUAAGGACCGGCCGGGCGCCAGCCGGCGUCUCCAACCUUUUUUCUCAGGUUGACCUCAGAUCAGACAAGGAUACCCGCUGAACUUAAGC
rnacentral:misc_RNA from 1 species